AUUGAACGCUGGCGGCAUGCCUAACACAUGCAAGUCGAACGGCAGCACGGUCUGGUUUACCAGAUGGGUGGCGAGUGGCGAACGGGUGAGUAAAGCGUAGGAAUAUACCUUAAAGAGGGGGAUAACCUGGGGAAACUCAGGCUAAUACCGCGUAAACUCUGCGGAGCAAAGCUGGGGACCGAAAGGCCUGGCGCUUUAAGAAUAGCCUGCGUCCGAUUAGCUAGUUGGUGGGGUAAAGGCUCACCAAGGCGACGAUCGGUAGCUGGUCUGAGAGGACGAACAGCCACACUGGGACUGAGACACGGCCCAGACUCCUACGGGAGGCAGCAGUGGGGAAUAUUGGACAAUGGGGGGAACCCUGAUCCAGCAAUGCCGCGUGUGUGAAGAAGGCCUGAGGGUUGUAAAGCACUUUCAGUGGGGAGGAGGAUUACUAGGUUAAGAGCCAGGUAAUUGGACGUUACCACAGAAGAAGCACCGGCUAACUCCGUG
rnacentral:rRNA from 1 species